AGUGAACGCUGGCGGUAGGCCUAACACAUGCAAGUCGAACGGCAGCACAGUAAGAGCUUGCUCUUACGGGUGGCGAGUGGCGGACGGGUGAGGAAUACAUCGGAAUCUACUUUUUCAUGGGGGAUAACGUAGGGAAACUUACGCUAAUACCGCAUACGACCUACGGGUGAAAGCAGGGGAUCUUCGGACCUUGCGCGAUUGAAUGAGCCGAUGUCGGAUUAGCUAGUUGGCGGGGUAAAGGCCCACCAAGGCGACGAUCCGUAGCUGGUCUGAGAGGAUGAUCAGCCACACUGGAACUGAGACACGGUCAAGACUCCUACGGGAGGCAGCAGUGGGGAAUAUUGGACAAUGGGCGCAAGCCUGAUCCAGCCAUACCGCGUGGGUGAAGAAGGCCUUCGGGUUGUAAAGCCCUUUUGUUGGGAAAGAAAAGCAGCAGGUUAAUACCCCGCUGUUCUGACGGUACCCAAAGAAUAAGCACCGGCUAACUUCGUG
rnacentral:rRNA from 1 species